UACGUAGGGGGCAAGCGUUGUCCGGAUUUAUUGGGCGUAAAGAGCGUGUAGGCGGCUUGGCAAGUCCGCUGUGAAAACUCGAGGCUCAACCUCGAGACGUCGGUGGAAACUGCCUCGCUAGAGUCCGGAAGAGGAGAGUGGAAUUCCCGGUGUAGCAGUGAAAUGCGUAGAGAUCGGGAGGAACAUCAGUUGCGAAGGCGGCUCUCUGGACCAGCACUGACACUGAGGCACGAAAGCGUGGGGAGCAAACAGG
rnacentral:rRNA from 1 species